rnacentral:rRNA from 1 species
GGUUAAGCGACUAAGCGUACACGGUGGAUGCCCUGGCAGUCAGAGGCGAUGAAGGACGUGCUAAUCUGCGAUAAGCGUCGGUAAGGUGAUAUGAACCGUUAUAACCGGCGAUUUCCGAAUGGGGAAACCCAGUGUGUUUCGACACACUAUCAUUAACUGAAUCCAUAGGUUAAUGAGGCGAACCGGGGGAACUGAAACAUCUAAGUACCCCGAGGAAAAGAAAUCAACCGAGAUUCCCCCAGUAGCGGCGAGCGAACGGGGAGGAGCCCAGAGUCUGAAUCAGUGUGUGUGUUAGUGGAAGCGUCUGGAAAGGCGCGCGAUACAGGGUGACAGCCCCGUACACAAAAAUGCACAUACUGUGAGCUCGAUGAGUAGGGCGGGACACGUGGUAUCCUGUCUGAAUAUGGGGGGACCAUCCUCCAAGGCUAAAUACUCCUGACUGACCGAUAGUGAACCAGUACCGUGAGGGAAAGGCGAAAAGAACCCCGGCGAGGGGAGUGAAAAAGAACCUGAAACCGUGUACGUACAAGCAGUGGGAGCCUCUUUUAUGGGGUGACUGCGUACCUUUUGUAUAAUGGGUCAGCGACUUAUAUUCUGUAGCAAGGUUAACCGAAUAGGGGAGCCGAAGGGAAACCGAGUCUUAACUGGGCGUUAAGUUGCAGGGUAUAGACCCGAAACCCGGUGAUCUAGCCAUGGGCAGGUUGAAGGUUGGGUAACACUAACUGGAGGACCGAACCGACUAAUGUUGAAAAAUUAGCGGAUGACUUGUGGCUGGGGGUGAAAGGCCAAUCAAACCGGGAGAUAGCUGGUUCUCCCCGAAAGCUAUUUAGGUAGCGCCUCGUGAAUUCAUCUCCGGGGGUAGAGCACUGUUUCGGCAAGGGGGUCAUCCCGACUUACCAACCCGAUGCAAACUGCGAAUACCGGAGAAUGUUAUCACGGGAGACACACGGCGGGUGCUAACGUCCGUCGUGAAGAGGGAAACAACCCAGACCGCCAGCUAAGGUCCCAAAGUCAUGGUUAAGUGGGAAACGAUGUGGGAAGGCCCAGACAGCCAGGAUGUUGGCUUAGAAGCAGCCAUCAUUUAAAGAAAGCGUAAUAGCUCACUGGUCGAGUCGGCCUGCGCGGAAGAUGUAACGGGGCUAAACCAUGCACCGAAGCUGCGGCAGCGACGCUUAUGCGUUGUUGGGUAGGGGAGCGUUCUGUAAGCCUGCGAAGGUGUGCUGUGAGGCAUGCUGGAGGUAUCAGAAGUGCGAAUGCUGACAUAAGUAACGAUAAAGCGGGUGAAAAGCCCGCUCGCCGGAAGACCAAGGGUUCCUGUCCAACGUUAAUCGGGGCAGGGUGAGUCGACCCCUAAGGCGAGGCCGAAAGGCGUAGUCGAUGGGAAACAGGUUAAUAUUCCUGUACUUGGUGUUACUGCGAAGGGGGGACGGAGAAGGCUAUGUUGGCCGGGCGACGGUUGUCCCGGUUUAAGCGUGUAGGCUGGUUUUCCAGGCAAAUCCGGAAAAUCAAGGCUGAGGCGUGAUGACGAGGCACUACGGUGCUGAAGCAACAAAUGCCAUGCUUCCAGGAAAAGCCUCUAAGCAUCAGGUAACAUCAAAUCGUACCCCAAACCGACACAGGUGGUCAGGUAGAGAAUACCAAGGCGCUUGAGAGAACUCGGGUGAAGGAACUAGGCAAAAUGGUGCCGUAACUUCGGGAGAAGGCACGCUGAUAUGUAGGUGAAGCGACUUGCUCGUGGAGCUGAAAUCAGUCGAAGAUACCAGCUGGCUGCAACUGUUUAUUAAAAACACAGCACUGUGCAAACACGAAAGUGGACGUAUACGGUGUGACGCCUGCCCGGUGCCGGAAGGUUAAUUGAUGGGGUCAGCGCAAGCGAAGCUCUUGAUCGAAGCCCCGGUAAACGGCGGCCGUAACUAUAACGGUCCUAAGGUAGCGAAAUUCCUUGUCGGGUAAGUUCCGACCUGCACGAAUGGCGUAAUGAUGGCCAGGCUGUCUCCACCCGAGACUCAGUGAAAUUGAACUCGCUGUGAAGAUGCAGUGUACCCGCGGCAAGACGGAAAGACCCCGUGAACCUUUACUAUAGCUUGACACUGAACAUUGAGCCUUGAUGUGUAGGAUAGGUGGGAGGCUUAGAAGUGUGGACGCCAGUCUGCAUGGAGCCGACCUUGAAAUACCACCCUUUAAUGUUUGAUGUUCUAACGUUGACCCGUAAUCCGGGUUGCGGACAGUGUCUGGUGGGUAGUUUGACUGGGGCGGUCUCCUCCUAAAGAGUAACGGAGGAGCACGAAGGUUGGCUAAUCCUGGUCGGACAUCAGGAGGUUAGUGCAAUGGCAUAAGCCAGCUUGACUGCGAGCGUGACGGCGCGAGCAGGUGCGAAAGCAGGUCAUAGUGAUCCGGUGGUUCUGAAUGGAAGGGCCAUCGCUCAACGGAUAAAAGGUACUCCGGGGAUAACAGGCUGAUACCGCCCAAGAGUUCAUAUCGACGGCGGUGUUUGGCACCUCGAUGUCGGCUCAUCACAUCCUGGGGCUGAAGUAGGUCCCAAGGGUAUGGCUGUUCGCCAUUUAAAGUGGUACGCGAGCUGGGUUUAGAACGUCGUGAGACAGUUCGGUCCCUAUCUGCCGUGGGCGCUGGAGAACUGAGGGGGGCUGCUCCUAGUACGAGAGGACCGGAGUGGACGCAUCACUGGUGUUCGGGUUGUCAUGCCAAUGGCACUGCCCGGUAGUUAAAUGCGGAAGAGAUAAGUGCUGAAAGCAUCUAAGCACGAAACUUGCCCCGAGAUGAGUUCUCCCUGACCCUUUAAGGGUCCUGAAGGAACGUUGAAGACGACGACGUUGAUAGGCCGGGUGUGUAAGCGCAGCGAUGCGUUGAGCUAACCGGUACUAAUGAACCGUGAGGCUUAACCUU